rnacentral:rRNA from 1 species
GACGAACGCUGGCGGCGUGCCUAAUACAUGCAAGUAGAACGCACAGUUUAUACCGUAGCUUGCUACACCAUAGACUGUGAGUUGCGAACGGGUGAGUAACGCGUAGGUAACCUGCCUGGUAGCGGGGGAUAACUAUUGGAAACGAUAGCUAAUACCGCAUAAUAUUGAUUAUUGCAUGAUAAUUGAUUGAUAGAUGCUAUUGCAUCACUACCAGAUGGACCUGCGUUGUAUUAGCUAGUAGGUGAGGUAACGGCUCACCUAGGCGACGAUACAUAGCCGACCUGAGAGGGUGAUCGGCCACACUGGGACUGAGACACGGCCCAGACUCCUACGGGAGGCAGCAGUAGGGAAUCUUCGGCAAUGGACGAAAGUCUGACCGAGCAACGCCGCGUGAGUGAAGAAGGUUGUCGGAUCGUAAAGCUCUGUUGUAAGAGAAGAACGGGUGUGAGAGUGGAAAGUUCACACUGUGACGGUAUCUUACCAGAAAGGGACGGCUAACUACGUG